UAUAAGUUAACACAAAGGGAAUACUCAAUGUCUUGGCUCAAUGUGUUCCAGGUUACUACAGCAGGACAGGCCAGCUACUAUGUGUCCUAUCAGAGGGAUCCAUUCCUCAAAAUCAAACUGCCGAAAUAUUCUCUGCCUAAGGGAAUAUUGAGUCUGAGCUGUCAUACAAUAAUGUUGGAAUCUCAUCUGAUGCUGGUAACAACUGGAGACAGGGCGAGCCGUGUGUGAUGGGCCAGAAACAGACCUAUAUGAAAUGCAGACUAGGAAACUAUGCAUGCUGGGAAAAGACUACGCCCAAGUCAGCUUUGCUGAUUCGGGCCCACAACAUUGAAUGUGAUUAUGGUUAUGAAUGGUGUAGAGAAGGGAACUGUCUACCAGGGUUCAACCCAGCUGUUGUAUCAAGGAGCUGCAGCCAAGGACAGAAGUACCCCAACAGGACAGGGGGGACUCAAUGAGAACCAACAUCCAUCUGGAUUUCGGAAAUGGCACGGCUGUAAUGGUCCUGUGUGUAGCUGGUGUAGAGAGUCAGGCGCAGGACAGCAGAUAUGAGUAAUCAACGUACUUUACUCAAAAAUACAAAGCAACAUAGCGAGCCCACAAAAACUUACCAAUGUACAAUAAACAAUCACUCACAAACAAAACAUGGGGAACAGAGGGUUAAAUAAUAAACAAGUAAUCGGUUGACUGAAGCCAGGUGUGAAGGACAAAGACAGAACAAAUGGAAAAUAAAAGUGGAUCGGCGGUGGCUAGAAGGCCGGUGACGCCGAACGCCGCCCGAACAAGGAGAGGGAUCGACUUCGGCGGAAGUCGUGUCAACGGCAGUCUCCUACUCCAACCUGAGCUGGAUCGAAGAGAGGAUCAGACAUGUUAACAAGACGGCUGGGAUAUUCCGUGUCUCGGCCUUUGCGGAGAACACCCUGGGAUUUCAUACUAGCACCUUGUAUAUGCAUGUUACGUUACCUCUAUACAUUCACCUAUUAUGUCAGGGCUAUUCAAUUCCCGCCACCGAGGACUGAAGUACUUCUGGUUUUUGUUUUUUACUGUACCUGGUAGAUAAUUGGUCAUUGAUUGGUCAGAGUGGUCGUUCACCUGGUUACCCAGGUCUGAAUCAGUCCCUGAUUGAAGGGAAAGGAUAGAAAACAAUAGUGCUGUGGUUCUCAAGGAUCAUAAUUGAAUAUCGCUGCCUCAUAUUUAUCUGUAAAUAACCACCUUACUAAAUAUACAGCAGUGUACAAUGGAGACAGUUAAAGACAAAGUACCAGAAUGCUCUGCACGUAGUACAGCACAAUGAUGCUCACUCGCUCUUGUCAUCUUGUAAUGAACAAGCCAGCCAAAUGUCAAGUAAAUAAUAGUGACAAAUAUAACAUGCUCAUGUCUAAAAGGCGUCAAGAAUUAUCCAGCUCUUUGAAGUGCUGUGUUUGAAUUGCCACCCUGUCUCCUGACUUGAACAGGGAGGGUUUUGUCAAUUAAUGAAGGUGCCUUUUAAGUGUUGUCUGGUCGCCAUGACACUUUCAAUCAUUGUACUUUGAUAUUUUUGAUGGCAUUGAAUCUGGUGGUGUUUUUUUCUCCGUGGUUUGUUUCAUUUCGAGGUCAUUUACAGGGGAGAAAGAGUGCAGGAUGUCACACUGGCAUAAAUUAAUCGGGAGACAGGCGCAGGAAUGCAGAAUAUUUUUUUUUUUAUUAAGCCCAAAUUACGGUGUUCCGUGUAAAGGCACGGGGACGAAGACCCAACAAACACGUAACAAAACACAGGGUAGAAAAACAAAAAAAAAAGAGCGAGGAGUAACUCGAAUAAAUAACAUACGCGCACAAUGAUUAACACAUGGGACGAGACCCGUAAUCAUCUACGCAAUCCACAAUGCCACGAAUGCCAAAAACACAGAGCACAGGUACUCACACGCACCAACGGACAUAGUAACAAUAAUCGAUCACCCAAUGGAAACCAAAGGGCACACUUAUGCAUGUACUAAUCAGUAGGGAAUAGGGGACAGGUGUGCGUAAUGAAAGUUCCGGAGGGAUCCGUGACACAGGUGAAGCUUUUAGCUAUGUGCCAAGCAUGAUGCCGCCACAGGUUUCCAAUUGGAAACUUUUUUUACACAAGACACAGCUUAGGAAGCCUGUCCAAAUGAAUCACAUCAUUCACACACGCACACACACACACACACACACACACACACACACACACAUACACACAGAUUUAAGAGACACACAGACACACAGAUUUUCUCUCUCUGUCACACACAAACACACUGCAUGAGUUUCAAAGCUAGGAUAAGGAUAAAGAUUAGUCUCAGUUAAAGAGGAUAAGAGUUAACAGAAGCCCAGGCGGAGACGUACACGCCAGAAAGCCGAGUCACACCACUCUCAGCCAGAGUUUUGCUGUUAAAAUACGGUGUUAUAUCUUUCCGCUAUAGGAAACUUCACUGCUAAGAUCACUGAAGCCUUUGACAAAAAAAAACAGCACUGUGUCUCACUUUUUAUUGAUCUCUCUAAGGCUUUUG